UACGAAGGGGGGCUAGCGUUGCUCGGAAUCACUGGGCGUAAAGGGUGCGUAGGCGGGUCUUUAAGUCAGGGGUGAAAUCCUGGAGCUCAACUCCGAAACUGCAUUCGAUACUGCGGUGCUUGAGGACUGGAGAGGAGACUGGAAUUCAUGGUGUAGCAGUGAAAUGCGUAGAGAUCAUGAGGAACACCAGUGGCGAAGGCGAGUCUCUGGACGACACCUGACACUGAGGCACGAAAGCUAGGGGAGCAAACAGG
rnacentral:rRNA from 1 species